AACGAACGCUGGCGGCGUGCCUAACACAUGCAAGUCGAACGUGAUCGGAAGCUUGCUUCCAUGAAAGUGGCGCACGGGUGAGUAACGCGUAGAUAAUCUACCUGGUGAUCUGGGAUAACACCUCGAAAGGGGUGCUAAUACCGGAUAAGCCCACAGGGUCUUUGGACCCAGCGGGAAAAGGGGGGGACCUGCGGGCCUGCUGUUAUCAGAUGAGUCUGCGUACCAUUAGCUAGUUGGUAGGGUAAGGGCCUACCAAGGCGACGAUGGUUAGCUGGUCUGAGAGGAUGAUCAGCCACACCGGAACUGAGACACGGUCCAGACUCGUACGGGAGGCAGCAGUGGGGAAUUUUGCGCAAUGGGCGAAAGCCUGACGCAGCAACGCCGCGUGAGUGAUGAAGGCUCUUGGGUCGUAAAGCUCUGACAGAGGGAAAGAAAUGCAGGGGUGCUAAUAUCACCUUUGCUUGACGGUACCCUCAAAGGAAGCACCGGCUAACUCCGUGCCAGCCGCCGCUGUAACAC
rnacentral:rRNA from 1 species